GAUGAACGCUGGCGGCGUGCCUAAUACAUGCAAGUCGAGCGAACGGACGAGAAGCUUGCUUCUCUGAUGUUAGCGGCGGACGGGUGAGUAACACGUGGAUAACCUACCUAUAAGACUGGGAUAACUUCGGGAAACCGGAUCUAAUACCGUAUAAUAUUUUGAACCGCAUGGUUCAAAAGUGAAAGACGGUCUUUCUGUCACUUAUAGAUGGAUCCGCGCUGCAUUAGCUAGUUGGUAAGGUAACGGCUUACCAAGGCAACGAUGCAUAGCCGACCUGAGAGGGCGAUAGGCCACACUGGAACUGAGACACGGUCCAGACUCCUACGGGAGGCAGCAGUAGGGAAUCUUCCGCAAUGGGCGAAAGCAUGACGGAGCAACGCCGCGUGAGUGAUGAAGGUCUUCGGAUCGUAAAACUCUGUUAUUAGGGAAGAACAUAUGUGUAAGUAACUGUGCACAGAUUGACGGUACCUAAUCAGAAAGCCACGGCUAACUACGUG
rnacentral:rRNA from 1 species